rnacentral:rRNA from 1 species
GUUCUUAAGAAAAAUGGCACUUGGCGUAUGUGUGUGGACUACACAGGUUUGAACAAAGAUUGUCCAGUAGAUCCCUUUGCCCUCCCUCACAUUGAUCAGAUUAUUUAUGCUACGGCGGGUUGUGACCGUUUGUGUUUUCUGGAUGCUUACUCUGGUUAUCAUCAUAUCAAAAUGGCAGUUAAGGACCAGGAAAAGACAUCUUUUAUAACUCCCUUUGGAGCCUUCUGCUAUGUCUCCAUGCCCUUUGGGCUCAAGAGUGCCCAUGCGACUUAUCAGCGCUGUGUUCAGAAUUGUCUU